rnacentral:rRNA from 1 species
AGAGUUUGAUCAUGGCUCAGAGCGAACGCUGGCGGCGUGCUUAACACAUGCAAGUCGAGUGCGCGUCCGUAGCAAUACGGAUGGCGCACGGCGCACGGGUGCGUAACACGUGGGUAAUCUGCCCUUCGAUGGGGAAUAACUCGCCGAAAGGCGAGCUAAUUCCGCAUAACAUUCCUUGGACUCUGGUUCGAGGAUUCAAAGGCGUAAGUCGUCGGAGGUGGAGCCCGCGCACGAUUAGCUAGUUGGUGAGGUAAUGGCUCACCAAGGCUAUGAUCGUUAGCUGGUCUGAGAGGAUGGCCAGCCACACUGGAACUGAGACACGGUCCAGACUCCUACGGGAGGCAGCAGUGGGGAAUCUUGCACAAUGGGCGAAAGCCUGAUGCAGCGACGCCGCGUGGGGGAUGAAGCUUCUCGGAGUGUAAACCCCUUUCGACCGGGACGAAUACCUCGCAAGAGGGGUGACGGUACCGGUAUAAGAAGCCCCGGCUAACUACGUGCCAGCAGCCGCGGUAAGACGUAGGGGGCCAGCGUUGCUCGGAAUUACUGGGUGUAAAGGGUUCGUAGGCGGUGUGGCAAGUCGGGAGUGAAAUCUCUGGGCUCAACUCAGGGGCUGCUUCCGAAACUGCCGUGCUAGAGUGUGGGAGAGGCGCGUGGAAUUGCAGGUGUAGCGGUGAAAUGCGUAGAUAUCUGCAGGAACACCCGUGGCGAAAGCGGCGCGCUGGACCACUACUGACGCUGAGGAACGAAAGCUAGGGGAGCAAACAGGAUUAGAUACCCUAGUAGUCC